AUGCGACAGCUUUGGCUUGUCACCAACAUGAGGGCUCAUAAUGACACGUGGUUUGCAGAUUACUGGCUAAGGGUUCGCAAUGGAACUGAGGAUGUCGAUGAUCAAGGCAACAUAUUACUCCCUGAAGACAUUUUUCUGCCUUCUACAGGCGAGGUUGACGACUUGGAGAAGCUUAUUGACCAUGUGUUUCCGAGUCUAGAUGACAACAUGUCUGAUUCAAAUUACAUGACAUGUCGCGCAAUACUUUCCACCACCAAUGACAAUGUCGACAAGAUAAACAUCCACAUGAUAGAGCGUUUUCAGGGUGAUGAAGUAAUCCACCAUAGUUUUGACAGUGCGGAGGACGACCGUAUGGCUACUAUGCUCAAGAGUUUCUGA
rnacentral:rRNA from 1 species